rnacentral:rRNA from 1 species
UACGUAGGUGGCGAGCGUUGUCCGGAUUUACUGGGCGUAAAGGGCGUGCAGGCGGUUUGUUAAGUCUAGGGUGAAAGCUCCCGGCUCAACUGGGAGAGGUCCUUGGAUACUGGCGAACUUGAGGGAUGCAGAGGAAAGUGGAAUUCCCGGUGUAGUGGUGAUAUGCGUAGAUAUCUGGAGGAACACCGGUGGCGAAGGCGGCAUCCUGGACCGGUAUUGACGCUGAGGCGCGAAAGCUAGGGGAGCAAACGGG